AUGAACGCUGGCGGCGUGCCUCAUACAUGCCAGUCGCGCGAACAGACGAGGAGCUUGCUCCUCUGACGUUAGCGGCGGACGGGUGAGUAACACGUGGUUAACCUACCUAUAAGACUGGGAUAACUUCGGGAAACCGGAGCUAAUACCGGAUAAUAUAUUGAACCGCAUGGUUCAAUAGUGAAAGACGGUUUUGCUGUCACUUAUAGAUGGAUCCGCGCCGCAUUAGCUAGUUGGUAAGGUAACGGCUUACCAAGGCAACGAUGCGUAGCCGACCUGAGAGGGUGAUCGGCCACACUGGAACUGAGACACGGUCCAGACUCCUACGGGAGGCAGCAGUAGGGAAUCUUCCGCAAUGGGCGAAAGCCUGACGGAGCAACGCCGCGUGAGUGAUGAAGGUCUUCGGAUCGUAAAACUCUGUUAUUAGGGAAGAACAAAUGUGUAAGUAACUAUGCACGUCUUGACGGUACCUAAUCAGAAAGCCACGGCUAACUACGUG
rnacentral:rRNA from 1 species